GGAAACCAAAACAAAGUAGUUAUUAUCACAGUCGCCAUCCUCGCUGGUACACCUUCUCAGUAUUUCCCAUGCUACCUCGUCUCGGGGGUGAACACACGUUUUCAGAGCAGUUCCCUGGCAGGAUGUCUUUGGCUCCAGCUAACUCUCCAGAUUUUUCCCACACGGCUCACAAGUGAGUGCCUCACAUGUACUCUGUGACUAGUUCUACUUGGUGAAUGCUGUUCACCAGCAAGAGGAUCUCUUUCCACUCCAGGGAAGGUCGCUGGUGGCCCCACCUUUACCUGUAGACCCCAUGCCAUUGGUAACUAAGCAGGAAUUGUGACCGUUGACACCUUGAUUGCCAAUCUCGGUCGCCAUAUUGAUUAUUCAGAGAAAUGCCUAGGAAAUCAGAAAAGCUCCCCUCUUGUUGUGUCUGUGAAGAUGCCUCCAGACAUGAUCAGACCCAGCUCAGAAUAGCACAGUGAUGGUUUGGGGAGGCAGUGGUAACUUUCAGAGAUACAGCCUAUUUGAAAGACAGUCACUUAGCCCGUGUCCUCUCGCUGUUUUCUGGUUGCCACAAGGUAAGCAGCCUCUGCCACUGCCUCACCUCAGGUCAAAAACAACGGAGCUGUCUGGACAUGGACUGACAAGUCUGUGAGCCACAAUACACCCUUUCCCUUUCAUGAGCUUAGCUCAGGCGUUCAGUCACUAUUACAAGAGUAAUAUGGAUACCCGUCCUCGGAAAAGGAGUCCCACCUCUGAAGCAAGUGGGUGGUAGCCCCAAAGUAAGCGUUACCUCCAUCACAUUGACAGAUGGCACUGAACAAAUGUUCCUCACGCAUUUGGCUUCUGGUGGUCAAUCAGACUGUGACUAGAUCGCUCUACUGGCUUAGCUGUGCACUAAGAUCUCUCCUUAGGAACCAGGUACCCCAACCGCACACACCCCUAAACCUCUCUACACUCACAGUAGACACCACAUUAUUCUCAGGGUGGCUGCCUGCUUGUGGAAACUUGCCCCCAUGUCUUUGUCACUUCUCUCCCUCCUACUGAGUUUCUGCCAAAAAAAAAAAAAAAAUGGUCCAAAGAGAAGCUACCUCCUCUGCCCAAACCAUACACGCCCACAUCUAAGGGCGCCUCCACUGACCUAACUAAAGGGAAACACACGACACUUUCUACAGUCCUAUGAAAAAUGUUCCUUUGCAGGCAUAUGCUCUUGUGAGUGGCCAAAAUAAUCCUGCAGACAUUCUGAAGAUGGCAUUGUGUUUGUUGGAAGGAGAAGGCGGCCAUGCAGACACCGCAGUGUCUCUUUGAUCAUUUGUGCUUAAGAAGAGGCACAUAUUUCUUGCAGAUGAGAUGGACUUUUAAAAAAAACCAACCUGCUUUUUUCAGAUACUCCAAAAACUAAUUAUCUCAUACCCUCCUAUGGUUUGAAGCCUGUAGGCGAAAUACAUGGGAGUUUUGUAUUAGCUGCAAGUAAAUCGCCAUUACCUUUCUCUCAAAUGCAAAUGGUGUAAACUUUCUAUGCAAAAGGCCAGAUUUCUUAAAUUCCAGCCUAGUUACCUGCUUCAUUAAGAAACAUGAGUGCAAAUAAAUUUUAUGAAAAAAUUAUGGAGAGCAGUUGGCUAGAGAGUGAUUGCAGAGGUUAAUGUGUGUAGUAAUUGGCUUGUUUAGGAUGUACCAUCAAACAAGAUUCACCAAUCAUUUCAAGUUUAAGUAAAUGAUACAGCUUUAUAGCAAUUAAAAUAUGAUUCAUUUUCCACAGUGUCUCUACAUUAACUUAAAAAAUAAUCAUUUGGGUUUAAUCCAAAUCAACAAC
rnacentral:lncRNA from 1 species